rnacentral:misc_RNA from 1 species
UACGUAGGGUGCAAGCGUUGUCCGGAAUUAUUGGGCGUAAAGAGCUCGUAGGCGGUUUGUCGCGUCUGCUGUGAAAUCCCGAGGCUCAACCUCGGGUCUGCAGUGGGUACGGGCAAACUAGAGUGUGGUAGGGGAGAUUGGAACUCCUGGUGUAGCGGUGGAAUGCGCAGAUAUCAGGAAGAACACCGAUGGCGAAGGCAGAUCUCUGGGCCAUUACUGACGCUGAGGAGCGAAAGCGUGGGGAGCGAACAGG